AGAGUUUGAUCCUGGCUCAGGAUAAACGCUGGCGGCGUGCCUAACACAUGCAAGUCGAACGCAUUCGAGCAAUCGAGUGAGUGGCGGACGGGUGAGUAACGCGUGGGUAAUCUACCCUGUGGUGAGGAAUACCAGCGAGAAAUCGCUGACAAUACCGCAUAGGUUUCCUCCAAUGGAAACAAAGCUUCGUAAGAGGCGCCACAAGAUGAGCCCGCGCCCGAUUAGCUAGUUGGUGGGGUAAUGGCCUACCUAGGCGACGAUCGGUAGUUGGUCUGAGAGGAUGAUCAGCCACACUGGGAUUGAGAACGGCCCAGACUCCUACGGGAGGCAGCAGUGAGGAAUUUUCCGCAAUGGGCGCAAGCCUGACGGAGCAACGCCGCGUGCAGGAUGAAGGUCUUCGGAUCGUAAA
rnacentral:rRNA from 1 species